AGAUUGAACGCUGGCGGCAUGCUUUACACAUGCAAGUCGAACGGUAACAGGCCGCAAGGUGCUGACGAGUGGCGAACGGGUGAGUAAUGCAUCGGAACGUGCCCAGUCGUGGGGGAUAACGCAGCGAAAGCUGUGCUAAUACCGCAUACGAUCUAUGGAUGAAAGCGGGGACGAAAGGCCUCGCGCGAUUGGAGCGGCCGAUGUCAGAUUAGCGUAGUUGGUGGGGUAAAGGCCCACCGAAGGCGACGAUCUGUAGCUGGUCUGGAGAGGACGACCAGCCGACACGUGGAACUGACGACGACCGGUCCAGACUCCGUACGGGAGGCAGCAGGUGGGAAUUUGGA
rnacentral:rRNA from 1 species